AUCAAACGCUGGCGGCGGUGCCUAACACAUGCAAGUCGAACGAAAGGAAAGCGGGGGGCAAACUCCGUGAGUAAAGUGGGCGACCGGGUGAGUAAACACGUGACUAACCUACCCUGAAGUGGGGAAUAACUCCGGGAAAACCGGGGCUAAUACCGCAUGAUAUCGCGAGGGGAAGAUCCUUGUGAUCAAAGGAGAAAUUUGCUUUAGGAGGGGGGGUCGCGGCUGAUUAGCUAGUUGGUAGGGUAACGGCCUACCAAGGCGAAGAUCAGUAGCCGGCCUGAGAGGGCGCACGGCCACACUGGAACUGAAACACGGUCCAGACUCCUACGGGAGGCAGCAGUGGGGAAUUUUGCGCAAAUGGGGGGAAACCCUGACGCAGCCAACGCCCGCGUGGAGGAUGAAGUCCCUUGGGAUGUAAACUCCUUUUCGAUCGGGAACGAUUAUGACGGUAACCGGAAAGAGAAAGAAGAAGCACCGGCUAACUCUGUGCCAGCAGCCGCGGGUAAUACAAGAGGGUUGCAAGCGUUGUUCGGAAUUAUUGGGCGUAAAAAGGGCGCGUAGGGCGGGUGCGGUAAGUCUGUUAGUGAAAUCUCUGGGCUCAACUCAGAGUCUGCUAUAGAAAACUGCCGUGCUUGAGUGUGGGAGAGGUGAGUGGGAAUUCCCGGUUUGUAGCGGUGAAUGAAUGCGUAGAUAUCGGGAAGGAACACCUGUGGCGGAAGAAAAGCGGCUCACUGGACCACAAACUGACGCUGAGGCGCGGAAAAGCUAGGGGAGCAAACAGGAUUAGAUACCCUGGUAGUCCUAGCCCUAAACGAUGAUUGCUUGGUGUGGUCGGGGUACCCAAUCCCGCCGUGCCGAAAGCUAACGCGAUAAGCAAUCCGCCUGGGGAGUACGAUUCGCAAGACUGAAACUCAAAGGAAAUUGACGGGGACCCGCACAAGCGGUGGAGCGUGUGGUUUUAAUUCGACGCAACGCGAAAGAACCUUACCUGGGUUAAAUCAAAGGUGUAAGGCCGAGAGAUCGGUCCCCCGGGCAACCGGCGCUUUUGAAGGUGCUGCAUGGCUGUCGUCAGCUCGUGUCGUGAGAUGUUGGGUUUAAGUCCCGCAACGAGCGCAACCCUUAUCACUAGUUGCCAGCAGUUUAGUCUGGGCACUCUAGUGAGAACUGCCGGUUGAAUAAAACCGGAGGAAGGUGGGGAUGACUCGUUCAAGUCAUCAUGGCCUCUUAUGUCCAGGGCCUACACACGUGCUACAAUGGCAGUUAACAAAAGCCGCUGCAAACUCGCGAGGAGGGAGCCAAUCGGCAAAAAAAAGCGUGUCUCAGUUCGGAUUGGAGUCUGCAACUCGACUCCCAUGAAGCUGGAAAAUCGCUAGUAAUCGCAGAUCAGGCACGCUGCGGUGAAUACGUUCCCGGGUCCUUGUACACACCGCCCGUCACAUCACGAAAGUGGGUUGUACUAGAAAUCGUCAAGCCAACCGCAAGGAGGCAGACGCUCACGGUAUAUGAUCCAUGAUUGGGGUG
rnacentral:rRNA from 1 species